UCUCUGGAAAGCCAAUUGGCACCGAAGGAGCAACCGGGAUCUAUGGGGAUAGACCCGGGAAUCUCUCAGGUAGAUGCACAGAGUCA
rnacentral:ncRNA from 1 species